rnacentral:hammerhead_ribozyme from 1 species
AUCCAGCUGACGAGUCCCAAAUCGGACGAAAUUCGCAUCUUGGAU